rnacentral:rRNA from 1 species
GUAGGUGGCAAGCGUUGUCCGGAAUUAUUGGGCGUAAAGCGCGCGCAGGCGGUCCUUUAAGUCCGAUGUGAAAGCCCACGGCUCAACCGUGGAGGGUCAUUGGAAACUGGGGGACUUGAGUACAGAAGAGGAAAGCGGAAUUCCAAGUGUAGCGGUGAAAUGCGUAGAGAUUUGGAGGAACACCAGUGGCGAAGGCGGCUUUCUGGUCUGUAACUGACGCUGAGGCGCGAAAGCGUGGGGAGCAAACAGGAUUAGAUACCCUGGUAGUCCACGCCGUAAACGAUGAGUGCUAAGUGUUAGGGGGUUUCCCGCCCCCCUUAGUGCUGCAGCUAACGCAUUAAGCACUCCGCCUGGGGGAGUACGGCCGCAAGGCUG